rnacentral:lncRNA from 1 species
ACCUGCACGGUGGUUUUAUGGGCCGAAUGCUCACUAAACUGACUUAUUCUUCCCGGUAACCUGCAUACAGACCUCCCAGGCCCUGGCGUGAAGGUGGCACUGUGACUAGCUCUUGCCGAUGGAAUGGGAGGAGUCAGUUAGAAAUUUUCAUAUGGUCAAAAUACCCAUGGAAUAUAUGAGUGGCAGCAGUAAACAAUCCUUGAAGUUCUUGCUUGUUUAACUUGACUGUUGGUGAUGCCCAAUGAGGCCCUGUCUGCUCCAAGCAAAUUACAUAAAAAAGAUGUGAAUAAAAACUCAUCAAAUACUAACAGAGGUUCAGGAGUACAUGUGAAGUCAACUCCUCACUUUUAAAUGCUGCAAAGUGAGCAAACAUUGACUAGUGUGGCCAGACAUAGACAAUGGUGUAUUUGUGAGUAACGACCAAAUUCAUACAAUCUACUGUAAAUAUAUUUUCGUCUGUGUAUAUACAUAUAUGUGUAUAUAUGAGAAUAUUAAUAUAAAUUACACAUGUAUGUAUGUUAAAUGCACUGCAAAAAAUACAUUCUCUCUCCAUAUUUGUAUGUAUGUACAUAUGACCACUCUCUGACCCCUAAAAAUGAGGCAGUUAAAGAAUAUUUGAUGACAAAGAGAAAUAUUAAAAUAUUAAGUUGAAAAAGUUUUGGAAACAAUAUCAUAUAGUAUAAUCCCAUUUUGGAAAAUUUAUAUGUAUACACAUAUAUAUAAAACAUGUGUAGAAAAAAUGAGGAUAUAUAACAGUAUGUGACCAGUGGUUAUGUCCAUGCGGUGGAAUUAUUGGUGAUUUGUUUUCUUUCUGCUUUUUUUUUUGCGUUUCUUCAAUAAACAUGUAUUAUUUUUAUAGU